rnacentral:rRNA from 1 species
AGUGAACGCUGGCGGUAGGCCUAACACAUGCAAGUCGAACGGCAGCACAGUAAGAGCUUGCUCUUACGGGUGGCGAGUGGCGGACGGGUGAGGAAUACAUCGGAAUCUACUUUUUCGUGGGGGAUAACGUAGGGAAACUUACGCUAAUACCGCAUACGACCUACGGGUGAAAGCAGGGGAUCUUCGGACCUUGCGCGAUUGAAUGAGCCGAUGUCGGAUUAGCUAGUUGGCGGGGUAAAGGCCCACCAAGGCGACGAUCCGUAGCUGGUCUGAGAGGAUGAUCAGCCACACUGGAACUGAGACACGGUCCAGACUCCCACGGGAGGCAGCAGUGGGGAAUAUUGGACAAUGGGCGCAAGCCUGAUCCAGCCAUACCGCGUGGGUGAAGAAGGCCUUCGGGUUGUAAAGCCCUUUUGUUGGGAAAGAAAAGCAGCAGGUUAAUACCCCGUUGUUCUGACGGUACCCAAAGAAUAAGCACCGGCUAACUUCGUG